rnacentral:misc_RNA from 1 species
AUUUUUUAGAUUUUUAAUCGAAAUCAGGCCUAGAUAAUUAAGAAAAAUGAGGGUUCAGGUUUACCUGUGCCAAUUCCGACCCUUGAGAGAUGUAUGAAAAUGGUGGGGUAGCUAAAAAUCUAGACCCGAUUCUAAAGCUUUCCUGGUAGCCUGUCUACCUGGCCCAAAAUUAAAAACCUGAGCAACUGUCGAAUUUCCUCUAAACGAGCGUACCUACGCGAAGCCCACAACACGGGGUUAGUAUAUAAUUUUUACGA